GGGAUCGAGGUGUUAGCGGCAGCAUCCCCGGCUCUUAACCGGGCGGGUCUGGGUUCGAGCCCCAGCGAUCCUA
rnacentral:tRNA from 1 species